GGGGCGGUAGCUCAGUUUGGGAGAGCGCCAGAAUCGCACUCUGGAGGCCGUGGGUUCGAUCCCCAUCCGCUCCACCA
rnacentral:tRNA from 1 species